rnacentral:rRNA from 1 species
CCGUAGCCCAAGAGAUCGGGAUAACACCUGGAAACAGAUGCUAAUACCGGAUAACAACAGAUGAUGCCUAUCAACUGUUUAAAAGAUGGUUCUGCUAUCACUCUUGGAUGGACCUGCGGUGCAUUAGCUAGUUGGUAGGGUAACGGCCUACCAAGGCGAUGAUGCAUAGCCGAGUUGAGAGACUGAUCGGCCACAUUGGGACUGAGACACGGCCCAAACUCCUACGGGAGGCAGCAGNG